GACGAACGCUGGCGGCGUGCUUAACACAUGCAAGUCGAACGAAGUGGCGAACGGGUGAGUCACGCGUAAUCAACCUGCCCUUCAGAGGGGGACCACAGUUGGAAACGACUGCUAAUACCGCAUACUGAAGGAGGGGAUUGCGUCUUAUUAGCUAGUUUGAGGGGUAACGGCCCACCAAGGCGAUGAUCAGUAGCCGGGCUGAGAGGGUGAACGGCCAAAUUGGGACUGAGAAAAGGGCCAGCCUCCUAAGGGAGGCAGCAGUGGGGAAUGUUCCGCAAUGGACGAAAGUCUGACGGAGCAACGCCGCGUGAGUGAUGACGGGCUUCGGGUUGUAAAGCUCUGUUAAUCGGGACGCGGUACCGGAAUAGAAAGCCACGGCUAACUACGUGCCAGCAGCCGCGGUAAUAC
rnacentral:rRNA from 1 species